GAAUCUGGAAAGUAGCUUCGGCUCACCGAAGGAGUAAGCGGACGUCGCGAAUCUCUCAGGUCAAUGACAGAUGGGU
rnacentral:ncRNA from 1 species